GAUGAACGCUGACAGAAUGCUUAACACAUGCAAGUCAUUGGCUAAGCUGCGCUUGCUCAGUCUAGCCAAGGCGGACGGGUGAGUAACGCGUAAUGAACUUGCCCUGCAGACAGGGAUAACAGACGGAAACGACUGAUAACACCUAUAAUUGUCAGGCUGGCGCAUGCCGGCCGGAUGACAGUAGACGCUGCAGGAAGGCGUUGCGUCCUAUUAGCUAGUUGGUGUGGUAACGGCCCACCAAGGCGAUGAUAGGUAGCCGGCAUGAGAGGGUGAACGGCCAUAAGGCGAAUGAGAUCCAGCAGUUACCACUACGGGCGGCAGCAGGGGAGAAUAUUGGACAACGGGGGCAACUCUGAUCCAGCAAUUCUGUGUGAAAGAAAAAGGUUUUCGGACUGUAAAGUGAUAUCAGCAGGGAAGAAGAAAGUGACGGUACCUGCAGAAGAAGCGACGGCUAAAUACGUG
rnacentral:rRNA from 1 species